UACAUGGGGUGCAAACGUUGCUCGGAAUCAUUGGGCGUAAAGCGCGCGUAGGCGGUUACACAAGUUGGAUGUGAAAGCCCUCGGCUUAACUGAGGAAGUGCAUCCAAAACUGUGCAGCUAGAGUACUAAAGAGGGUCGCGGAAUUCCCGGUGUAGAGGUGAAAUGCGCAGAUAUCAGGAAGAACACCCGUGGCGAAGGCGGCGUCUCUGGGACGGUACUGACGCUGAGACGCGAAAGCGUGGGGAGCGAACAGG
rnacentral:rRNA from 1 species